rnacentral:rRNA from 1 species
UACGAAGGGGGCUAGCGUUGUUCGGAAUCACUGGGCGUAAAGCGCACGUAGGCGGAUCUUUAAGUCAGGGGUGAAAUCCCGAGGCUCAACCUCGGAACUGCCUUUGAUACUGGGGAUCUUGAGUUCGGGAGAGGUGAGUGGAAUUGCGAGUGUAGAGGUGAAAUUCGUAGAUAUUCGCAAGAACACCAGUGGCGAAGGCGGCUCACUGGCCCGAUACUGACGCUGAGGUGCGAAAGCGUGGGAGCAAACAGGG